GAUGAACGCUGGCGGCGUGCCUAAUACAUGCAAGUCGAGCGAACAGACGAGAGUGCUUGCCCUCUCUGACGUUCGCGGCGGACGGGUGAGUAACACGUGGGUAACCUACCUAUACGACUGGGAUAACUUCGGGAAACCGGCGCUAAUACCGGAUAAUAUUUAGCUUCGCAUGAAGCAAUAGUGAAAGACGGCUCUGCUGUCACUUAUAGAUGGACCCGCGGUGUAUUAGCUAGUUGGUGAGGUAACGGCUCACCAAGGCAACGCUACAUAGCCGACCUGAGAGGGGGAUCGGCCACACUGGGACUGAGACACGGACCAGACUCCUACGGGAGGCAGCAGAAGGGAAUCUUCCGCAAUGGACGAAAGUCGGACGGAGCAAUGCCGCGUGAGUGAAGAAGGUUUUCGGAUCGUAAAACUCUGUUGUAAGGGAAGAACAAGGACGUUAGUAACUGAACGUACCUUGACGGUACCUAACCAGAAAGCCACGGCUAACUACGUG
rnacentral:rRNA from 1 species